rnacentral:rRNA from 1 species
AUUGAACGCUGGCGGCAUGCCUUACACAUGCAAGUCGAACGGCAGCACGGGAGCAAUCCUGGUGGCGAGUGGCGAACGGGUGAGUAAUAUAUCGGAACGUGCCCAGUCGUGGGGGAUAACGCAGCGAAAGCUGUGCUAAUACCGCAUACGAUCUACGGAUGAAAGCGGGGGAUCGCAAGACCUCGCGCGAUUGGAGCGGCCGAUAUCAGAUUAGCUAGUUGGUGGGGUAAAGGCCCACCAAGGCGACGAUCUGUAGCUGGUCUGAGAGGACGACCAGCCACACUGGAACUGAGACACGGUCCAGACUCCGACGGGAGGCAGCAAUGGGGAAUUUUGGACAAUGGGCGCAAGCCUGAUCCAGCAAUGCCGCGUGCAGGAUGAAGGCCUUCGGGUUGUAAACUGCUUUUGUACGGAACGGAACGGCCCUUUCUAAUACAGGGGGCUAAUGACGGUACCGUAAGAAUAAGCACCGGCUAACUACGUGCCAGCAGCCGCCGUAA